UACGAAGGGUGCUAGCGUUGUUCGGAAUUACUGGGCGUAAAGCGCGCGUAGGCGGCUUGUCAAGUCAGGGGUGAAAUCCCACAGCUCAACUGUGGAACUGCCUUUGAAACUGUCAGGCUAGAGUGUCGGAGGGGAUAGCGGAAUUGCUAAUGUAGAGGCGAAAUUCGUAGAUAUUAGCAGGAACACCGGUGGCGAAGGCGGCUCACUGGCUCAUUACUGACGCUCAGGCGCGAUAGCGUAGGGAUCAAACAGG
rnacentral:rRNA from 1 species